rnacentral:rRNA from 1 species
AUUGAACGCUGGCGGCAUGCUUUACACAUGCAAGUCGAACGGAAGCGCGGGCUUCGGCCUGGCGGCGAGUGGCGAACGGGUGAGUAAUGCAUCGGAACGUGCCCAGUAGUGGGGGAUAGCCUGGCGAAAGCCGGAUUAAUACCGCAUACGACCUGAGGGUGAAAGCGGGGGACCGAAAGGCCUCGCGCUAUUGGAGCGGCCGAUGUCGGAUUAGCUAGUUGGUGGGGUAAAGGCUUACCAAGGCGACGAUCCGUAGCUGGUCUGAGAGGACGACCAGCCACACUGGGACUGAGACACGGCCCAGACUCCUACGGGAGGCAGCAGUGGGGAAUUUUGGACAAUGGGGGCAACCCUGAUCCAGCCAUGCCGCGUGCGGGAAGAAGGCCUUCGGGUUGUAAACCGCUUUUGUUCGGGAAGAAAUCCUCUGGGCUAAUACCCCGGGGGGAUGACGGUACCGGAAGAAUAAGCACCGGCUAACUACGUG